ensembl:lincRNA
CUUCACAGCUGUCUGGACCUUCUGAGAACAAAAGGAAUACUGCUCUUACAGUGAACCAGGAAUGAAGUUUUGUGACAAGAUUGAGUCUUAUGGCAGUGCUGACUGAGGACGAGACCAGGAAUUAUAUAACUAUGAGGAUGCUGGUGGCUAAAUUGAGGAGACACCUUACCAAGACCUCAUUUAUUUUAACACUUCCUGGGAGACCUUUAUUGUCAAACUCGACCAGAUUUAUUCAACAAACAGCAAUUCAAGAAAGCAGUGGAAAAGAGCUGAGUCACAGUGAAAGUGACAUUUCCCUUUGCAGCUGAAGAAACCACCGGCUGUGAUUAACUGCUUGACUAGUCCUCCAGUGUGAAGGAUCACAAUGGGAUCAAGAAGGCUUGGCUGGGCUAUGAGAAAGAAAAGAACUGAAUCAAAUUGGAGCUGGGGAAACUCAGUUCACAGGAUCCCCUAAAAGUUACAAAUGUCACAAGUGUGAGUGACCAUUCAUUUACUUAAUCAGGC